UGCAGCGGAGCCCUGUAGCUCAGUGGUUAGAGCAUUUGCUUCAUGAGCAAAAGGACCCGGGUUCGAUUCCCGAGCAGUGCAA